rnacentral:rRNA from 1 species
CAGUAGCCACGGGAAUACGUAGGUGGCAAGCGUUGUCCGGAAUUAUUGGGCGUAAAGGGCUCGCAGGCGGUUUCUUAAGUCUGAUGUGAAAGCCCCCGGCUCAACCGGGGAGGGUCAUUGGAAACUGGGAAACUUGAGUGCAGAAGAGGAGAGUGGAAUUCCACGUGUAGGGUGAAAUGCGUAGAGAUGUGGAGAAACACCAGUGGCGAAGGCGACUCUCUGGUCUGUAACUGACGCUGAGGAGCGAAAGCGUGGGGAGCGAACAGGAUUAGAUACCCCGGUAGUCCCUGUCUCUUAUACA